GCUUUCAUAGUGCAAUUGGAAACAUACUCGAUUCCUAUUCGAGAUGUCCAGGGUUCGAGUCCCGGCAAGGGCA
rnacentral:tRNA from 1 species